rnacentral:rRNA from 1 species
AGUGAACGCUGGCGGCAGGCCUAACACAUGCAAGUCGAGCGGCAGCGGGUCCUUCGGGAUGCCGGCGAGCGGCGGACGGGUGAGGAAUACAUCGGAAUCUGCCCUGUCGUGGGGGAUAACCUAGGGAAACUUAGGCUAAUACCGCAUACGACCUACGGGUGAAAGCGGGGGAUCGCAAGACCUCGCGCGACAGGAUGAGCCGAUGUCCGAUUAGCGAGUUUGCGGGGUAAAGGCCCACCAAGGCGACGAUCGGUAGCUGAUCUGAGAGGAUGAUCAGCCACACUGGGACUGAGACACGGAAAAGAGUCCUACGGGAGGCAGCAGUGGGGAAUAGUGGACAAGGGGCGAAAGCAUGAUACAGCAAUGCCGCGUGGGGGAAGAAGGCAUUCGGGUUGUAAAGCCCUUUUGUCCGGGAAGAAAUCGUCUGGGCUAAUACCCCGGGCGGAUGACGGUACCGGAAGAAUAAGCACCGGCUAACUUCGUG